UACGUAGGCAGCAAGCGUUGUUCGGAGUUACUGGGCGUAAAGAGUGCGUAGGCGGUCCUGUAAGUUUGGUGUGAAAUCUCCCGGCUCAACUGGGAGGGUGCGCCGAAGACUGCAGGGCUUGAGUAUGGGAGAGGUAAGCGGAAUUCCUGGUGUAGCGGUGAAAUGCGUAGAUAUCUGCAGGAACACCCGUGGCGAAGGCGGCUGGCUGGACCGCAACUGACGCUGAGGAACGAAAGCUAGGGGAGCAAACGGG
rnacentral:rRNA from 1 species